AAAUUGAAGAGUUUGAUCAUGGCUCAGAUUGAACGCUGGCGGCAGGCCUAACACAUGCAAGUCGAACGGUAACAGGAAGCAGCUUGCUGCUUUGCUGACGAGUGGCGGACGGGUGAGUAAUGUCUGGGAAACUGCCUGAUGGAGGGGGAUAACUACUGGAAACGGUAGCUAAUACCGCAUAAUGUCGCAGGACCAAAGAGGGGGACCUUCGGGCCUCUUGCCAUCAGAUGUGCCCAGAUGGGAUUAGCUUGUUGGUGAGGUAACGGCUCACCAAGGCGACGAUCCCUAGCUGGUCUGAGAGGAUGACCAGCCACACUGGAACUGAGACACGGUCCAGACUCCUACGGGAGGCAGCAGUGGGGAAUAUUGCACAAUGGGCGCAAGCCUGAUGCAGCCAUGCCGCGUGUAUGAAGAAGGCCUUCGGGUUGUAAAGUACUUUCAGCGGGGA
rnacentral:rRNA from 1 species